UACUCCACCUUUCUGCUGAAAUACAUGAGUUCAGACAUUGUCUGGAUCCACUGCAGAUGGGCUAAAAAUACCAAAAUAUCAGCACUCCAGCCAGCGCUCCAAGCAGGGAUUCUAGCAAUUCCCAUCAAUGUAUCAGGGUCAUGGGGUAGCCUGGAGCCUAUCUCAGGGAACUUAGGACAUAAUGUGUAGGAUAUCCUGGACAGGGUGCCAACCCAUCGCAGAGCACAAUUGCACACACUCACACACUACGGACAAUUUGGAAAUGCCAGUCAGCCUUCAACACAUGUAUUUGGACUGUAAAGCCAGAGUACCUGGAGGAAAUCCCUGAAGCACGGAAGGAACAAAAAAAAAAGUUCCACACAUGGCAA
ensembl:lncRNA